rnacentral:snoRNA from 16 species
AAAUGAUGACAAAAUAUCCCAAAAUGCCUAUUUGAAGCUUGCUUCAAAAAUGAAGGUUAAUCCAAUUUGCCACUGAUA